rnacentral:misc_RNA from 1 species
UCGUAACAAGGUCUCCGUUGGUGAACCAGCGGAGGGAUCAUUACCGAGUUUACAACUCCCAAACCCCUGUGAACAUACCUUAAUGUUGCCUCGGCGGAUCAGCCCGCGCCCCGUAAAACGGGACGGCCCGCCAGAGGACCCAAACUCUAAUGUUUCUUAUUGUAACUUCUGAGUAAAACAAACAAAUAAAUCAAAACUUUCAACAACGGAUCUCUUGGUUCUGGCAUCGAUGAAGAACGCAGCAAAAUGCGAUAAGUAAUGUGAAUUGCAGAAUUCAGUGAAUCAUCGAAUCUUUGAACGCACAUUGCGCCCGCUGGUAUUCCGGCGGGCAUGCCUGUUCGAGCGUCAUUUCAACCCUCAAGCCCCCGGGUUUGGUGUUGGGGAUCGGCUCUGCCCUUCUGGGCGGUGCCGCCCCCGAAAUACAUUGGCGGUCUCGCUGCAGCCUCCAUUGCGUAGUAGCUAACACCUCGCAACUGGAACGCGGCGCGGCCAUGCCGUAAAACCCCAACUUCUGAAUGUUGACCUCGGAUCAGGUAGGAAUACCCGCUGAACUUAAGCAUAUC